GUCCCUUCGGGGUCAUCCGAUAAAAUUGGAACGAUACAGAGAAGAUUAACAUGGUUCAUGCGCAGGGAUGACACACAUAAAUCAAGAAAUUGUCCAAAUUUUU
rnacentral:snRNA from 2 species